rnacentral:rRNA from 1 species
UACGAAGGGGGCUAGCGUUGCUCGGAAUCACUGGGCGUAAAGCGCACGUAGGCGGCUUACUAAGUCUGGGGUGAAAUCCUGGAGCUCAACUCCAGAACUGCCUUUGAUACUGGUGAGCUUGAGUCCGGAAGAGGUGAGUGGAACUGCGAGUGUAGAGGUGAAAUUCGUAGAUAUUCGCAAGAACACCAGUGGCGAAGGCGGCUCACUGGCCCGAUACUGACGCUGAGGCACGAAAGCGUGGGGAGCAAACAGG